rnacentral:misc_RNA from 1 species
UACCACUGCCACCCCUGCCAUC